rnacentral:rRNA from 1 species
UACGUAGGGUGCGAGCGUUGUCCGGAAUUACUGGGCGUAAAGGGCUCGUAGGCGGCCAACUAAGUCAGACGUGAAAUCCCUCGGCUUAACCGGGGAACUGCGUCUGAUACUGGAUGGCUUGAGAUUGGGAGAGGGAUGCGGAAUUCCAGGUGUAGCGGUGAAAUGCGUAGAUAUCUGGAGGAACACCGGUGGCGAAGGCGGCAUCCUGGACCAACACUGACGCUGAGGGAGCGAAAGCCAGGGGAGCAAACGGG